GGAGAGAAUCCACUUUUUGUUUUAUCUGGGUCAACUCCUUCAUAAUGGCCUGAAGGUCAUCUCCUCUCAACUUUCCAGACUUGGAAGAUCCCUGCUGUCCACUCUUAGAAUUGAGGCCACUUUUGCCCCUUCAUGAGGUGUUUCCUGAUACACGCUGACGUUUUGAGAGCACUACAGCCCAAGCAAUAGGAGGAGGAGGAGGCACACGUGCUGAGUAACUGUACAUCGUGUCAUCAUAAUCACCUUGAUAGUCAUAGCCCAAGUGAAAAGAGGAGCUAUACAUCUCCACUGCAGAUCGUUUCACGCCUGCUUUUCCACGGUUCACUUUUGGCUCUGCAGCCAGGUUAAUAUCUA
rnacentral:lncRNA from 10 species